rnacentral:rRNA from 1 species
UACGUAGGGUGCGAGCGUUGUCCGGAAUUAUUGGGCGUAAAGAGCUCGUAGGCGGUGUGUCGCGUCGGCCGUGAAAACCUGGGGCUUAACUCUGGGCGUGCGGUCGAUACGGGCAUCACUGGAGUUCGGCAGGGGAGACUGGAAUUCCUGGCGUAGCGGUGAAAUGCGCAGAUAUCAGGAGGAACGCCGGUGGCGAAGGCGGCGACCUGGGUCGAGACUGACGCUGAGGCGCGAAAGCGUGGGGAGCAAACAGG